CAACAAGCCAUUGAUCGGUACGGGUUGUGAGAGCAAGAGCCCGGAGAUGGAUUCUGAGACACGAAUCCAGGCCCUACGGGGCGCAGCAGGCGCGAAAACUUUACAAUGCGAGAAAUCGUGAUAAGGGAACCCCGAGUGCCCGUAAAUUCGGGCUGUCCGCCAGUGUAAAUAACUGGUGAAGAAAGGGCCGGGCAAGACCGGUGCCAGCCGCCGCGGUAAUACCGGCGGCUCGAGUGGUGGCCACUAUUACUGGGCUUAAAGCGUCCGUAGCUGGAUUGUUAAGUCUCUUGGGAAAUCCACCGGCUCAACCGAUGGGCGUUCAGGAGAAACUGGCAAUCUAGGGACCGGGAGAGGUGAGAGGUACUCCAGGGGUAGGAGUGAAAUCCUGUAAUCCUUGGGGGACCACCUGUGGCGAAGGCGUCUCACUAGAACGGCUCCGACAGUGAGGGACGAAAGCUGGGGGAGCAAACCGGAUUAGAUACCCGGGUAGUCCCAGCUGUAAACGAUGCGCGUUAGGUGUAUCGGUGACCACGAGUCAUCGAGGUGCCGAAGGGAAACCGUGAAACGUGCCGC
rnacentral:rRNA from 1 species